UACGUAGGGGGCUAGCGUUGUCCGGAAUCAUUGGGCGUAAAGCGCGUGUAGGCGGUCCGGUAAGUCCGCUGUGAAAGUCGGGGGCUCAACCCUCGAAUGCCGGUGGAUACUGUCGGGCUAGAGUGCGGAAGAGGCGAGUGGAAUUCCUGGUGUAGCGGUGAAAUGCGCAGAUAUCAGGAGGAACACCAGUGGCGAAGGCGACUACCUGGCCUGUUUCUUGACGCUGAGGCGCGAAAGCUAGGGGAGCAAACGGG
rnacentral:rRNA from 1 species